AGCAACGUGACGGUUUAUGAAAACACAUUCGAAGGUAAUUAACCAGAAAAGUACUAUAAUUUCCUUCUGAAGACACACUCAUCUUUAUUUUGAAUUUCGACGAGUGCAACGUUUGAUUUUUGCAAUUUUGCUUCGUCUUCAUACAACACGGUGAAAAAGGUUUGGUUUGACCGAGAACCCUGAGAAGAAUCGUUAAGAUAGGUACCACACCAGAAAUAAUUUCCUCUUUUAAGGAGGAAUUAUCGACCACGCGGUUUAUUGUGCUUAUUUAAUCAACAGAUAUUGCACAAAAAUACGAAAGGAAAACGAAAAAAAUCUCAGGGGAAUGAAGUACAGCGGGAGCGCACAUGGAAAAAAGAAGAAAAGAAUGAAAGAGACUCAAUGAUUGCAGUACAAGUUGUCUUGUUGAUUUAACAAAAACUCCUUCAGAAAAUUAACCACAAAUUAAAGGUUUCUUUUAUUUAAAUUUUUAUUUUGAUCAUCAGCAGUAACAGGGAUUCAAUAAUAUUUAGAAAGCACUAAUUUUUGUUAUACAAUCAGGGGUAACAUUUUGUAAAUGAUCUUUUUAAAGAAUUUACUCGAUCCUAUUAAAUCCAGUCGACAUAG